rnacentral:rRNA from 1 species
UACGAAGGGGGCUAGCGUUGCUCGGAAUCACUGGGCGUAAAGCGCACGUAGGCGGUUUCUUAAGUCAGGGGUGAAAUCCUGGAGCUCAACUCCAGAACUGCCUUUGAUACUGGAGAGCUUGAGUCCGGAAGAGGUGAGUGGAACUCCGAGUGUAGAGGUGAAAUUCGUAGAUAUUCGGAAGAACACCAGUGGCGAAGGCGGCUCACUGGUCCGGUACUGACGCUGAGGUGCGAAAGCGUGGGGAGCAAACAGG